UACAGAGGUCCCAAGCGUUGUUCGGAUUCACUGGGCGUAAAGGGUGCGUAGGUGGUGAGGUAAGUCGGAUGUGAAAUCUCCGGGCUCAACCCGGAAAUGGCAUUGGAAACUACCUUGCUGGAGGAUUUGAGGGGGGAUUGGAAUACUUGGUGUAGCAGUGAAAUGCGUAGAUAUCGGGAGGAACACCAGUAGCGAAGGCGGCACUCUGGGCCGGUACUGACGCUGAGGAGCGAAAGCGUGGGGAGCGAACAGG
rnacentral:rRNA from 1 species